UACGGAGGAUGCGAGCGUUAUCCGGAUUUAUUGGGUUUAAAGGGUGCGUAGGCGGAGUGUCAAGUCAGCGGUAAAAUUUCGGGGCUCAACCCCGUCGUGCCGUUGAAACUGACGCCCUUGAGUGAGUGAGAAGUAAGCGGAAUGCGUGGUGUAGCGGUGAAAGGCAUAGAUAUCACGCAGAACGCCGAUUGCGAAGGCAGCUUACCGGCGCUCAACUGACGCUGAGGCACGAAAGUGCGGGUAUCGAACAGG
rnacentral:rRNA from 1 species